UACGUAGGUGACAAGCGUUGUCCGGAUUUACUGGGCGUAAAGCGUGCGCAGGCGGUUUUGUAAGCCAGGUGUGAAAUCCCCGGGCUCAACCUGGGAAUGGCAUUUGGGACUGCAAGGCUGGAGUGUGGCAGAGGAGACUGGAAUUCCUGGUGUAGCAGUGAAAUGCGUAGAUAUCAGGAGGAAUACCGAUGGCGAAGGCAGGUCUCUGGGCUGACACUGACGCUCAUGCACGAAAGCGUGGGGAGCAAACAGG
rnacentral:rRNA from 1 species